CUUGGUUUUUAUUAUUUAUUGUUAUUUACACAUUGAUCUUGUAAACAUUUCUUUUAGGGACGGGACAGGAGUUGGGAGUACGAUUGUUCUGCAUUAAAAAAAUACAAUUAUGUGUCAUUUAUUUGUGUAUCGUCAUAGGUGAACCUGAAGAGGAAGAAGAGACUAAUAGAGUAUUAUUAAAGGCCCUGUACCUGAUUUCAAACCGUGAGUCAAACAUGUUUUCAUUUGAACUUUUAGCUCCGCCCACUUAGUCUUUUCUGCUGCGAUAUUGCAUCAAGACACAGAAAAGAUGAGUCUGUGAUAGUCUCAUGUGGUCGUUUUCUUAUAUUUCUCCUGUCUUAGCCUACAAUUUGAGGUUUUGUUCAUUUUACAUAAACACUGACAGAAUAGUGUCUGAGAUCAUGUCUGGCAGUUGGUUUCCCAUGAUUCUUAGCAAAAAUGAUGACCUUGAUGCUAAUUUCUGUAUUAGCUAAAACCUGAGUAAAUGCUAUGUUAGAUUAUAGACUAUAUUUAUUUUAUAUUUUUCAUUAUUUAGCAGCUUUAACCAUGAUUUAAUGAGAAUUAUUGUGACAAAAAAUGGGUUCAAAUCAGGUACAGGUUCUUUAAUAUUAGCGAUGGUUUGUGAUAUUUGGUCUGACCUAAAGUGGCUUUUAAAACAGUGGCUUUGCUCCAGGUUCUCCUCAUGUCUUGUUGCAUUUCUGUCUCAUCCCUAUUUAUUUACACGCUCUGCUUUUACAAAUCUAUUAAUCGCACAUUUCAUUACAUUUGUAAACUUAUCAUAAAGUGACUUGCAGCUCGACCAUAUUUACAUUUCUCCAGUUCCCAACAACAGAACCGUAACGAAUAUAAACAAGUGAUUUAAAUACGAAAUAAUUUAGCGCAUUUUGUUCAAGUUUAAACUUUCUUAUGCCCAUAAUGAUUCUACCAACGUCUUUAACCUUUCGUAAACAUUCAAGUGGCUGUGUUCACAAACUCAAACGGCUUCAUACAAUGUCAAUAUAAACGGGGACAUUUCUUUUUUUAAGUUAUAGAAAAUCCACUUCUUGUUGCCUUCAUAAUGUACAUCUGUUUUUGUUGGUGAUGUUGGCAGUGUUGCUGUUGGUCUUGGUACAUGUACAUCUGUUGUUGGUGUUGCCGUUAGUGUUGUUGGCCUUGGUGCAUGUACAUUUGUUGUUGGCGGUGUUGCUGGUGGUGACAUUGGUGUUGGUUCAUGUACAUCUGUUGUUGGUGUUGCUGUUAGUGUUAUUGUUGGUGGUGGUAGUGUUGGUCUUGGUACAUUUACAUCUGUGGUUAUUGUUGUUGUGUUGUUGUUUGUUGUUGUUAGUGUUGGUGGCAGUGUUAGUCGUGUUAGUGGAAAAGUAACUCCACUCUGACCAUAAACCAGGUUAAACAUCUGCAUUUAAAAAUAUCAAUAAUCAGAUUUGGCUCAACAGCAAAAUUUGUCUCUAAAGUCAAUCCUCAUUGGAAAUAUAAAUAAAAACCUUCUGAGCAGUUUUGAAUAGUCUUGAUCCUAAUAGACCACCUGGUAAAACUUCGACAUAUAUGC
ensembl:lncRNA